AGUGAACGCUGGCGGCAGGCCUAAUACAUGCAAGUCGAACGGCAGCACAGCAGAGCUUGCUCUGUGGGUGGCGAGUGGCGGACGGGUGAGGAAUACAUGGGAAUCUGCCCAGUCGUGGGGGAUAACGUAUGGAAACGUACGCUAAUACCGCAUGCGCCCUACGGGGGAAAGUCGGGGACCGCAAGGCCUGACGCGAUUGGAUGAGCCCAUGUUCGAUUAGCUAGUUGGCGGGGUAAAGGCCCACCAAGGCGACGAUCGAUAGCUGGUCUGAGAGGAUGAUCAGCCACACUGGAACUGAGACACGGUCCAGACUCCUACGGGAGGCAGCAGUGGGGAAUAUUGCACAAUGGGCGCAAGCCUGAUGCAGCGACGCCGCGUGGGGGAUGACGGCCUCGGUUGUAACUCUUCUAGCAGGACGAAGGGUAGGACGUGACGGUACC
rnacentral:rRNA from 1 species